rnacentral:rRNA from 1 species
AUUGAACGCUGGCGGCAGGCCUAACACAUGCAAGUCGAACGAGUGGCGGACGGGUGAGUAAUGUCUGGGAAAGUGCCUGAGGGAGGGGGAUAACUACUGGAAAGGGUAGAUAAUACCGCAUACCAUCGGGUGUCCACAUAUGGGUUUGGCUAGUAGGUGGGGUAAAGGCUCACCUGGGCGACGAUCCCUAGCUGGUCUGAGAGGAUGAACAGCCACACUGGGACUGAGACACGGCCCAGACUCCUACGGGAGGCAGCAGUGGGGAAUAUUGCACAAUGGGCGCAAGCCUGAUGCAGCCAUGCCGCGUGUAUGAAGAAGGCCUUCGGGUUGUAAAGUACUUUCAGCGGGGAGGCGUUACCCGCAGAAGAAGCACUGGCUAACUCCGUGCCAGCAGCCGCGGUAAUUC